CGUUAACGAACGAGACCUCGACCUGCUAAAUAGUCUGGAUAAUCCUUUCGGGAUUGUCAUGUGGCUUCUUAGAGGGACUAUCGGUGGUUAGCCGGUGGAAGUUCGAGGCAAUAACAGGUCUGUGAUGCCCUUAGAUGUUCUGGGCCGCACGCGCGCUACACUGAUAAAGUCAACAAGUAAUUAACCUUUGCCGGAAGGCAUGGGUAAUCUUUUGAAACUUUAUCGUGCUGGGGAUAGAGCAUUGCAAUUAUCGCUCUUCAACGAGGAAUCCCUAGUAAGCGUAAGUCAUCAGCUUGCGUUGAUUACGUCCCUGCCCUUUGUACACACCGCCCGUCGCUACUACCGAUUGAAUGGCU
rnacentral:rRNA from 1 species